rnacentral:misc_RNA from 1 species
GUUGUUGUUGUUCUUCCAGGAAACCUCAUCUGCAUGGAACACCUGUAUAUUACUGUUGUCCACCAGCUUUGGAAGAGCAUGAAUCCUUAACAUCUCACAAUGGCGCAGCCUCUGCAUUCGCUGCAGGUCUCCUAGCUGAACUGAAUCUGAAUACAUCAACUCCUGAUACUUUCCGGUCUCCUCCUGCGCCUUUGCCGUAUGAUGUGGUUUUGGGAGGUCCACGAUCAUCAGAUUCUGAAUCUGUUAGAGAAACAAUUAGUGGUGGUAGUUUUGAAACUUUAGCAACAUGUGAGGAUCU